GUGAGGAAUUUUCCGCAAUGGGGGAAACCCUGACGCAGCGACGCCGCGUGAGUGAUGAAGGCCUUCGGGUCGUAAAGCUCUGUUGCAGGGGAAUAAAAAAAUGAAGGUACCCUGUGAGGAAGGAUCGGCUAACUUCGUGCCAGCAGCCGCGGUAAGACGAGGGAUCCUAGCAUUGCUCGGAAUCAUUGGGCGUAAAGAGGGCGUAGGUGGCUUGGUAAGUCAGGUGUGAAAGCCCAGGGCUCAACCCUGGAAGUGCAUUUGAUACUGCUGAGCUUGAGUGUCGGAGAGGUUACCGGAAUACCUGGUGUAGUGGUGAAAUACGUAGAUAUCAGGUGGAACACCGGAGGCGAAGGCGGGUAACUGGACGAACACUGACACUGAGGCCCGAAAGCGUGGGGAUCAAACAGGAUUAGAAACCCGAGUAGUCC
rnacentral:rRNA from 1 species